rnacentral:lncRNA from 1 species
CAAGAUGCCACUUUUCUUUACUUACUCUAUUGUAUUUGACAUUUUGCUUUUUACAGGUUACUUGUAAAAGCCCCGGUGAGGAGUGAUCCCCAUCUGGGGCAUGUUCCAGCAGACGUGGUGGGGUGUGACAGCGAGGAACGCCCGCUGCCUGACUCGUCCUCAAGCUUGCUGCAUCCUCGCUGCCUGCCGUCACCCUGCACAGGAGGAGCUCCAAGGUCGCACGUGUCCCCACGGCAAGCCUGCUCCUUGUAAUGCAAGAUAUGGCUCCUUGGGGGCUGGCAGAAUCAUGCCAUCAGGACUGAGCGGUAAAUAAUAAGCCUGUUUCUGCCUCCUUAGCUUAGAUGACACAUCCAGAGGACUGAUACCGGCUGGGGCAUGAGGUCCUGUGCUCAUUUCAUACAGACCAUUACCGCAGAGCAACACGUCUGGCUUAGCUGCGUGUAGCAUCACAGACAACACAAAUACACUGCUCCAGCAAGGCGUUUGUCAAAUGCGGAAAGUAUCACAGGCAAAUUCCAUCUUGGGACUUCUUCAGGGACCAACGCAUGCAAAAACAUCUGGCAAGGCAGGGGAAUAGUUUUGAAACUUUAUAUUUUUUUCUAAAGAUGUACAGUGUUCAAUCAUAGCCUUAUAGUUAUUCUUUGUCUAGGGUAGAAUAUAAUGCAUGAAAAGUCAAAAAGCAGCAAGCUCAUUCAGCGAGAUCAACAGUAGUUCAUUUUAUAGCAUGUGCAACAGUGUCUUAUUUUGUGCUUGACACAGCAAACAUUCCUAGUGUCCAGCCAGCGUCUUAGAAGCUUUAUAAAGAGACAGACGAAGCAAGAAGUACUGCAAGCUGCUUUUGUGUCUUCUGCUGGAUGCCCUCAGUGCCUUGCAAAUGCCUGGGAGUCCAAAGCAGGACGCAGAAGUUGGCGUCCUCUGUUUACACGUGGGAAAACAGAAGUUGCACCUGCUCUCAAGGAUACCACCCAAGGGUAAAUACGGAGAGGGCACAAAGCCAGCAGCGUGAGUGCAGUUUCCAUGGGAAAUGCAGGCAGGUAUCUCUACAUGGAGUAAAAUACCAGGCUCUGGGUGUCUGCUCCAUUCCCCUGCUCUGGGAUGUGGCGAUGAGCACCCAGUCUCCAGAGCAUGGAGACUGCUUGGGUGGCUGAGCUCCCUUAAAAGAGGAGUUCAAAACUGCAUCUCAAGCACCCCUUUGCCAGAACAGAUCAGGAAUUGCAGCUUUUCUUGAGUAAAAUUUCAGUCAGG